GAUGAACGCUGCGGUAUGCCUAACACAUGCAAGUCGUACGAGAGUUUUUAACUCUAGUGGCGGACGGUGAGUAACACGUGAGAAUUUGCCUUUAGGAGGGGGACAACAAUCGGAAACGAAUGCUAAUACCCCAUAUGCUUUCGAGUGAAAUGGAUUUUAUCCGCCUAGAGAGAAGCUCGCGGCUGAUUAGCUUGUUGGUAAGGUAAGAGCUUACCAAGGCGACGAUCAGUAUCUGGUUUGAGAGGACGAUCAGACACACUGGAACUGAGACACGGUCCAGACUCCUACGGGAGGCAGCAGUGGGGAAUUUUCCGCAAUGGGCGAAAGCCUGACGGAGCAAUACCGCGUGAGGGAAGAAUGCCUAUGGGUUGUAAACCUCUUUUUUCAGGGAGGAAUCAAAUGACGUGUACCUGAAGAAUAAGCAUCGGCUAACUCCGUG
rnacentral:rRNA from 1 species